AGCUGGCUAGCUCAGCGGAAGAGCGCCGGGCUCAUAACCCGGAGGUCCUCCGAUCGAAACGGAGGCCAGCUA